AGAGUUUGAUCCUGGCUCAGGAUGAACGCUAGCGACAGGCUUAACACAUGCAAGUCGAGGGGCAGCGGGGAGUAGCAAUACUUCGCCGGCGACCGGCGCACGGGUGAGUAACACGUGUGCAACCAACCCCGUACCGGGAGAUAACCCGCGGAAACGUGGACUAACAUCCCAUGAUACUCGAGAGCCGCAUGGCUCUCGAUUUAAAAUUCCGGUGGUACGGGACGGGCACGCGCGACAUUAGGUAGUUGGCGGGGUAACGGCCCACCAAGCCGACGAUGUCUAGGGGUUCUGAGAGGAAGGUCCCCCACACUGGAACUGAGACACGGUCCAGACUCCUACGGGAGGCAGCAGUGAGGAAUAUUGGUCAAUGGGCGAGAGCCUGAACCAGCCAAGUCGCGUGAGGGAAGAAUGGUCUAUGGCCUGUAAACCUCUUUUGUCAGGGAAGAAUAAGGAUGACGAGUCAUUCGAUGCCAGUACUUGACGAAUAAGCAUCGGCUAACUCCGUGCCAGCAGCCGCGGUAAUACGGGGGAUGCGAGCGUUAUCCGGAUUUAUUGGGUUUAAAGGGCGCGUAGGCGGGACGUCAAGUCAGCGGUAAAAGACUGCAGCUAAACUGUAGCACGCCGUUGAAACUGGCGCCCUCGAGACGAGACGAGGGAGGCGGAACAAGUGAAGUAGCGGUGAAAUGCAUAGAUAUCACUUGGAACCCCGAUAGCGAAGGCAGCUUCCCAGGCUCGUUCUGACGCUGAUGCGCGAGAGCGUGGGUAGCGAACAGGAUUAGAUACCCUGGUAGUCCACGCCGUAAACGAUGCUCACUGGAUCUUGGCGAUACACUGCCAGGGUUCAAGCGAAAGUAUUAAGUGAGCCACCUGGGGAGUACGUCGGCAACGAUGAAACUCAAAGGAAUUGACGGGGGCCCGCACAAGCGGAGGAACAUGUGGUUUAAUUCGAUGAUACGCGAGGAACCU
rnacentral:rRNA from 1 species